AACCAUAGAAACCUGCGGAGUACCUGCGGAAGGAUCAUUAACGAAUGGUCUUUGUACCUUCAAAACCCCUCAAACCAGUGGACAUGAAAAUGUGCUUCGGCGCUCUGGCGCCGCUUUUAUGCUGUAAUUCUGUCAUUUGUGUCUGAAUGCAAAGCAAAGAAUCAAAACUUUUAGCAAUGGAUCU
rnacentral:misc_RNA from 1 species